rnacentral:rRNA from 1 species
UGGCUCAGAACGAACGCUGGCGGCAGGCGUAACACAUGCAAGUCGAACGCCCUCUUCGGAGGGAGUGGCAGACGGGUGAGUAACGCGUGGGAAUCUACCCAGUUCUAAGGAAUAACUUCGGGAAACCGGAGCUAAUACCUUAUACGCCCUUCGGGGGAAAGAUUUAUCGGAAUUGGAUGAGCCCGCGUUAGAUUAGCUUGUUGGUGAGGUAAAAGCUCACCAAGGCGACGAUCUAUAGCUGGUCUGAGAGGAUGAUCAGCCACACUGGAACUGAGACACGGUCCAGACUCCUACGGGAGGCAGCAGUGGGGAAUAUUGCACAAUGGGCGCAAGCCUGAUGCAGCCAUGCCGCGUGAGUGAUGAAGGCCCUAGGGUUGUAAAACUCUUUCAUCGGUGAAGAUAAUGACGGUAGCCGAAGAAGAAGUCCCGGCUAACUCCGUGCCAGCAGCCGCGGUAAUACGGAGGGGACUAGCGUUGUUCGGAAUUACUGGGCGUAAAGCGCGCGUAGGCGGGCUGGUCAGUUGGGGGUGAAAUCCCGAGGCUUAACCUCGGAACUGCCUUCAAUACUGCCAGUCUUGAGUUCGGAAGAGGUGAGUGGAAUUCCUAGUGUAGAGGUGAAAUUCAUAGAUAUUAGGAAGAACACCAGUGGCGAAGGCGGCUCACUGGUCCGAUACUGACGCCGAGGUGCGAAAGCGUGGGGAGCGAACAGGAUUAGAUACCCUGGUAGUCCACGCCGUAAACGAUGGAUGCUAGCCGUCGGGUAGUAUACUACUCGGUGGCGCAGUUAACGCAUUAAGCAUCCCGCCUGGGGAGUACGGUCGCAAGAUUAAAACUCAAA